UCUUGGACCACGUAUUUCUGUCUUUGUUAAAUAAAUAUUGCCAUAACAACAACAUACUGAUUUUUAAACAUAGAUUCACACAAUAGAUUUAAACCAUCUUGAAUUUUUUUUUUUUUACAAAAGAUAAAUGUUAAUAAUGUUUGCCGUUGGCAGUGUGGUGGGGUGGUCAUGGGCAUGCUUCUCUGCGGCUGGGGGCUGGCUGCGCGUCCUGGUGCGGCCCGGGCUGGGCCUUGGCUAUCUGCUCCUCUCCACCUCAGAAUGAUUGGGUCUACCUCCUGGGUUCGGGUGUGUGCUGCCUACAAUAGAUACAAUACAAUAUUCAUCUGAGGCUGUCAGCGGCUGGAGUGGACCCCUCCGUCUCCCUCGUCGUCUGCUGCGGCUGCUUGCUGCUCUCUGGACCCGUCUCCUCUGCCCACACCUGGUGGCUUCUCCUCUGGGUUGAUGAAAAUCAGAGACCAUCUUGCCUGUAAGCUGCUGGAUGUUAAAACCCUCUUCAGCUGACACUUAAAUGAAGAAAAGUGGACAUCUUCAGCUUUGGACAAGGUUUAUUCAGCGAGAGAGAUGGAACAUGGGUCCACAAAGCCUGAUGUUAAGCUGGACUCUCCACCCAGUGCGCGCGUCCGCUCUGAAGCGCGUCCACAAUUCUUAAAGAGACAGUACAUGAAAAUACACCACAGGGUUGGACAACAUUCAAAUGUUCACCAUCUUCCUCGCUCUGUUUGUCAAGCUACAGGGUCUCUACAGCCAGUGUCAAAUGCACAUUUUGCCAUUUUUUGGCCGUGGUGUUGAGGUGUAUUAAUCGUCGGGGUGACGAUGCAACAUUGGGGGGUAGAAUGUGGUGAGAUGGUGUGUAGUUUUUGUCACUUGGUACACCAGGUGUUGCCAAGUGUGCAGCACUGAUUGAGGGGCGUGGCAGGCUGCUUUAUAUUUAGGCAGGUUGCAGCUCCUGCGUGAAAAAAACUUUGUUCUUCCUGCGGCGUGUCAGCUUUUUGCCUGGCUGUGUUGUCGCUGCUGCUCAUCAAACUUGGCACUACUGUUGGUUGGUGUUGCCGGCUGCAGUCGGGAUUGUUUGUGGCGCAUGGCUUCCUCCUGCUGUCGUCCUGCUGAUCUGCUCUCUCCCCUGGGCGCUGUGCUUCCAUCUUCUGGCGCGUGCUGUGUAUCGCCAUGCGUAAAUGUUUGACGUGCAGUGACGCUCUGAUGACUGCGCUGCUGUCUUGUCUUACCGGUUCCUGUUUGGAUUCAUAGAAGCGACCAGCUCACUUCAUCACUAAUACUGCUGAUUCGACAGCCAAAGGGAUUGAAAAGUAUUCGGUUCACUUCAGUGGUAAUCGAGUGAGCUUUCACCAUUUUCUUUUAUAAUUUAUUGUUUGAUUCUGAUUUAUUUCAUUGUGCUUUUUUGUAUUUUUAUUUAACCAAUUUUGUUUUAUUUAUUUAACAUUUCAGGAUCUUUUCUUUUUGCUAAAUAGAUUGGUGAUUGAGCUUCAUGCACAUUUUUCUUCCCUUAGGGAUCAAGUGAUAUUUUAUAGUGGUUUUAAAGGCACAGUGUGUAGGAUUUUGUUAAUUCUUUU